AAAUUGAAGAGUUUGAUCAUGGCUCAGAUUGAACGCUGGCGGCAGGCCUAACACAUGCAAGUCGAACGGUAACAGGAAGCGCUUGCUGCUUCGCUGACGAGUGGCGGACGGGUGAGUAAUGUCUGGGAAACUGCCUGAUGGAGGGGGAUAACUACUGGAAACGGUAGCUAAUACCGCAUAACGUCGCAAGACCAAAGAGGGGGACCUUCGGGCCUCUUGCCAUCGGAUGUGCCCAGAUGGGAUUAGCUAGUAGGUGGGGUAACGGCUCACCUAGGCGACGAUCCCUAGCUGGUCUGAGAGGAUGACCAGCCACACUGGAACUGAGACACGGUCCAGACUCCUACGGGAGGCAGCAGUGGGGAAUAUUGCACAAUGGGCGCAAGCCUGAUGCAGCCAUGCCGCGUGUAUGAAGAAGGCCUUCGGGUUGUAAAGUACUUUCAGCGGGGAGGAAGGGAGUAAAGUUAAUACCUUUGCUCAUUGACGUUACCCGCAGAAGAAGCACCGGCUAACUCCGUGCCAGCAGCCGCGGUAAUACGGAGGGUGCAAGCGUUAAUCGGAAUUACUGGGCGUAAAGCGCACGCAGGCGGUUUGUUAAGUCAGAUGUGAAAUCCCCGGGCUCAACCUGGGAACUGCAUCUGAUACUGGCAAGCUUGAGUCUCGUAGAGGGGGGUAGAAUUCCAGGUGUAGCGGUGAAAUGCGUAGAGAUCUGGAGGAAUACCGGUGGCGAAGGCGGCCCCCUGGACGAAGACUGACGCUCAGGUGCGAAAGCGUGGGGAGCAAACAGGAUU
rnacentral:rRNA from 1 species